rnacentral:rRNA from 1 species
GACGAACGCUGGCGGCGUGCCUAAUACAUGCAAGUAGAACGCUGAAGAGAGGAGCUUGCUCUUCUUGGAUGAGUUGCGAACGGGUGAGUAACGCGUAGGUAACCUGCCUGGUAGCGGGGGAUAACUAUUGGAAACGAUAGCUAAUACCGCAUAAAAUUGAUUAUUGCAUGAUAAUUAAUUGAAAGAUGCAACUGCAUCACUACCAGAUGGACCUGCGUUGUAUUAGCUAGUUGGUGAGGUAACGGCUCACCAAGGCGACGAUACAUAGCCGACCUGAGAGGGUGAUCGGCCACACUGGGAAUGAGACACGGCGCAGACUCCUACGGGGGGGAGCAGUAUGGGAACUUCGGCGAUGGGGGGAAACCUGACCCAGCAACGCCGCGUGGGUGAAAGAGGGUUUCGGGUCGUAAAAAUCUGUUUUAAGAGAAGAACAGGUAUGAGAGUGGAAAGGUGACACUGUGACGGUAACUUAACAAAAAGGGACGGCUAACUACGUG